UUAAGGGCGUAUGGUGGAUGCCUUGACACAAAAUGACGAUGAAGGACGUGGCGUAGCUGCGAUAAGCCUCGGUGAGUUGCCUAGCAAACUGUGACCCGGGGAUUUCCGAAUGGGGCAACCCUUCCAUGUAAACCAUGGAAACGUACUACUUAUAGUAGUGCGAGUAGACCCGCUGAAGUGAAACAUCUCAGUAAGCGGAGGAAAAAAGAACGAAGUUAUUCCCUAAGUAGCGGCGAGCGAAAAGGGAAGAGCCCAAACCUUAUGUGAACCGCGCAAGCGGGGAGUGUAGGGGGUAGUAAGUUAGGGACAUUUUGCACCGUACUCUUGUUCGCCUCCGGGCGGAGAAGAGUACGAUGUGAAGGAAAGUUACAAAAUAGUGUGUUAGUCGAAGCGGCUGGAAAGCCGAGCCAAAGAAGGUGAAAGCCCUGUAGUCGAAAACAGACUAUCUUUCUUGUUUCUAUACUUGAGUACUUCGAGAAACGAUAACCUCGGAGGAAUCAUCCCGUACUAUCGGGAAAGGCUAAAUACAUUUUGUGAUCGAUAGUGAACAAGUACCGCGAGGGAAAGGUGAAAAGCAGCCCGGCGAGGGCGGUGAAAUAGACCUGAAACCAUAUGCCUACAAGGACUCGGAGUCCCGACGCAAGUCGCGGAUGACGGGGUGCCUAUUGAAGAAUGAGCCAACGACUUUAUGUAGACGGCAAGGUUAAGCCAGUAUAACUGGUGGAGCCGUAGGGAAACCGAGUGUGAAAGCGCGUAAGUCGUCUGCGUAAGACCCGAAACCAGAUGAGCUUGCCAUGGCCAGGAUGAACUUGGACGAAAGUCUAAGGGAGGUCCGAACCGGUUGGUUGUUCAAAACCUUCGGAUGAGCUGUGGUAAGGAGUGAAAAGCUAAUCGAAUCUGGUAAUAGCUGGUUCUCUCCGAAAUAGUUUUCGGACUAGCCUUACAGAAAGCGUACGGAGGUAGAGCGCUGGGUGAUCUGUACAGGGCGAAAGCCCGACAGAUCAAUCAAACUUCGAAUGCCGUACGAAAAUCCUGUAGGAGUCAGACUGUGGGGGCUAAGCUCCAUGGUCAAGAGGGAAAGAGCCCGGAUCGUCGUCUAAGGUCCCUAAAUCUUCGCUAAGUGUAAAAGGUAGUUCUGCACCACAGACAGAUAGGAGGUUGGCUUAGAGGUAGCCAUCCUUUAAAGAUUGUGUAACAACUCACUAUUCAAUGGUGCGGGGCGCCGAAAAUGUACCGGGGCUAAGCGAAGUACCGAAGACACGAAUAUUUUUGAGCUUCGGCUCAAAAACAUGGUAGGAGAGCAUUUUGCAUGCAGUGAAGCUGGACCCGCGAGGGCUGGUGGAGCGUGCAGAAGAGAAAAUGUUGGCAUGAGUAACGUAUAGUUUGGUGAGAAACCAGACCCCCGAAAAUCCAAGGUUUCCGUGGCAAUGUCAAUCAACCACGGGUUAGGCGGUCCUAAGGCAAUGGUGAAAACCGCAGCUGAUGGAUAGCUGGUUAAUAUUCCAGCCCGCCGUAGAGAUUCGAUGGAGUGACGAAGGAAAAAGGAUUAAGCGUCUUAAUGGUUUGACGUUUGCGCGAAAAAGAAUGCUGCGAUAGGCAAAUCCGUCGCAGUGCCGCAAAGGCAACAUUCGCGUCGCGUGAAAAGUGCUGGUUUUUAUCAGUGCAAUUUAAUCGAAGAGCCUCCCAAGAAAAACUUCUAAGGUUAGUCUCUCCGGCUCCGUACCGGAAACCGACACUGGUGGAUAGGGCGAGUAGCCCAAGGGGAACGAGUGAUAUCUCCUUAAGGAACUCGGCAAAAAAGCGGCCGUAAGUUUGCAAUAAGGCCUGCCCUUCAAGGGCUUGGGGUUUACCCUGAGCUUGUCGAAGGGCCGCAGCGAAAGUAUCUCUAGCGACUGUUUACCAAAAACACAGCUCCCUGCUAACUCGUAAGAGGAUGUAUAGGGGGUGAGGCCUGACCGAUGCGAGAAGGUCAAGCUUGGGGGUCUUUUGAGUAGCAAUAUUCGAAAGGCUCACCGAGUUAAGCCCUCGUCAAUGUCAGCGGUAACUAUAACCGUUCUAAGGUGGAAUGCCUGCCUUAGUAAAAUUCGGCUAUAUGCUGGAAUAACUGGAGAAUCCGAAGCUACUAUGGUAAGAUACGUCCAUAGGUGGAUGAAACAAAACAAUAGUAAAAAAGCUCUCGGUGCAGUCAAUCAGCAGGAAAGACUUAAACUCGAAAAUUGGAUCUGUGGCUUUGUAGAUGGAGAAGGAUGCUUCUCGGUUAGUGCGAUUAGAAAUAAAACUACAAAAUCUGGAAUUCAAAUCUUCCCUGAGUUUGUUGUAACACAAGGCGCAAAAAGUUUAUUGGCGCUCGAAGAAAUUAAAAACUUUUUCAAGUGUGGCAAUAUCUUUGUGAAUAAACGUUACGACAAUCACAACGAACAUCUUUACCGAUAUUGCGUGCGAUCUGUGAAGGAAUUGAAGGAAAAGAUUAUUCCCUUCUUCGAAGAAAAUAAUCUGAAAACAUACAAACAGAAAGAUUUCCUUCUCUUCAAAAAGAUCGUUAACGAAAUGGUUAAAAAAUACCAUCUCACGCAAGAAGGUAGAAAAAAGAUUUUAGGAAUAGCAGGAAAGAUGAAUCGAAACAAAAAACGAGUAUAAGAAUCCUCAGAGACUAUAUGCCGAAUCCUUCGACAAGCUCAGGAUUAGUCCCGAGCGAAGCCGAGAGAAAGAUAUAGUCCGAUCUCUCUGGCGACAGAGAGGAUCUCUAGAGUGUUACUAGAGUGAUAACGAAAUGAGCGCAAUUCCUUUCCGGGUAAGUUCCGGAGCGCACGAAUGGCAUAACGACUGGAGAACUGUCUCAAGGAGACGCUCGGUGAAAAUGCGAUUCCCGUGAAGACGCGGGGUACCUGCAGCGGGACGAAAAGACCCCGGAAGCUUUACUAUAACUUGGUAUUGGCUUUAGAGUGCGGAUGCGUAGCGUAGUGGGGAGGCGUCGAUCUCUCGUUUUCGGACGGGAGGGAGCCGACAAU
rnacentral:rRNA from 1 species